UGCGUCCCGAUUUCCAUGAUGCCCGAUCGAGUCUCGGGUGAAAAUCAGCCUGUCUAUUUUUGGCGAAUGAGCAAUUUUUUCCGAAUAUAUAACCCUGAACUUUGCCUGAAUUCUCUUUGUCAUUACUGUCAUCAUCACUUCAGCCACCAGAGGUCCCUGUUGAAUCAGUCAACACACAUCAAAGUUGCUGGUGAACGCAGCAGGCCAAGCAGCAUCUAUAGGAAGAGGCGCAGUCGACGUUUCAGGCCGAGACCCUUCGUCAGGACUAACUGAAGGAAGAUUUCUGGAAGGAUUGGCAGGAUCCACCCUCAAACCCACAAGGAGGCUCAAAUCCCAGCAGUGUAUGUGGGUCAGAGAUGACCGGGGACUCAGGAUGGCUGGCGUUUUACAAGAUUCCCUGCGAAUGCAGAGCAGUGUAUAUCGGUCAGAUGAGACACACAGUGCAAACCCACACGAAGGAGCACAGAUGGUGUACCUGGAGAAAUCAGCAGUAGCAAAACGUUGCAUUUGCAAUGGCCAUAGGACCGUCUUUGACGGCACAAAAGUACCGUGCUGCACCGAUGGCUAAAGGGAGCCAUUGAAAUGAAACGAGAAAAAUUUUUUAACAAAGAUGAAGAUCUCGCUCUAAGUAAGAACUGGAAGUGGAUUGUAAACAAGGUGGCCCAGCAGAGACCCGACUGGAUGAGGACUAACCAAGAGGGAUGGAUGACAAAGAUAUAAAUACCACCACAACAGACAUGCCCAGGUAUCAUCCCCGAUGAAAAAGGCAGAGUUUGUCAUCGAAACAUCGGUUAAAAUUGAUGCCGGUACCUGGCUGAAAGCCCGAUGAAGAGUUUAUUCAUACUGUAUUUUGUUUUAUAAAUCAGUUUAUGUAUUCUACAGAACAAUUAUUCCAUUUUUGUACUAUUUUAUGCAUAUUAACCUAAACUGCUCACAGCCCGUAUUCUACAGUCCUACCAGACUACAUAAAACAUUUCAAAUUCCUUACGGGAUUAAAGAUCAGCUUGCAUUUAUGAACUUUAUUUUUAUAUUCGCAGAUGAAAACAUUUAACUAGACUUUUCUGUUCACAAUGUUAAACCUCUAAAAUGAACCCCGUACCAGCUCUGCCUCUUUACUACUGUUUAGUAACAUAACAGUUACAGAUUUUUGUAUUGGUAAUGCCAGAUAUGCAUUACUCCAGUGGGCACCCAAGGUAGUUCUCCCAUCUCUGGAGACAGGAAUUUAAAAUGAAAGUCUAACAUUAAAGACAGAAAGAGCACUGUGAUAUAAACUGCAACCACUACUAAUUUCUUAAACCCAAAAUCACUGAUAACAUUGACAUUUUAAUCAACAAUUUGGCCCAUGCUACCUCAGCACUGUGACUCAUAUUUACUCCCCUACCCCAAGUCAUAAAACAGCACAGUUUUCUUCUCCUAUCUGGAACUGUCACCUCACUGUAAGGUAAAUGUACAGCAUUACACCAAUAGACCCAAAGCACAACAUCACUGAUACACUCCUGGGGGUAUAUAUAUUUAUUUCUGCUGCAUCGGAUUCAGAGUAACAAUUAAUUUGUUCUCUUUUACACUUUACUGUUAUAUUAUUUUGUACUCAUUUAUUGCUAUUUAUUUAUAUCUGCAUUUGCAGAGUUUGUUUACAGUUACUGUUCUACAGAUCUGCUAAGUUCUCAGUGUUGUAUGUGAUGACAUGCAUAUACUCUGAUAAUAAAUUUUACUUCAAGCUUUGAACUUGUCUACUAAUUGAACAAUCUUGAAUCAUGACCACUAGAUAGUUUCCAUGUACUAUGAGCUACAGUUAACCUUC